UACGUAGGGUGCAAGCGUUGUCCGGAAUUAUUGGGCGUAAAGAGCUCGUAGGCGGUCCGUCACGUCGGCUGUGAAAUCCCGAGGCUCAACCUCGGGUCUGCAGUCGAUACGGGCAAACUAGAGUAUUGCAGGGGAGACUGGAAUUCCUGGUGUAGCGGUGAAAUGCGCAGAUAUCAGGAGGAACACCGGUGGCGAAGGCGGGUCUCUGGGCCGAUACUGACGCUGAGGAGCGAAAGCGUGGGGGAGCGAACAGG
rnacentral:rRNA from 1 species